AUUCUGUUUGUCCUUAGCCGUGCACUCUAGCUAGCUAGGAAGUUUGAUGUCAUCAAAUUUCACAUGAUGUAUAGCGACGUCCAAACAUCAAAACAUUGCUAGCAAAUUGUAAAAAAAAAAUGGAUAGUAACAAUAUAAUUCCAUUAAAUAACGACAGUAGACGCUGUAUUUUCUUUAAUACAGAUUCUGACGACUAUCGAUGUGUGGUGAUUCUCACAGUGAAGCGAGCCACAGGCACCUUCUCACUGAUAGGAUGCUUUGUUUCAACGUAGCGUUCUUCAAUCCUGGGGGACCUUUGUUUGUAGGCCUCAGUUCCAUCCCAGUACUCACUAGGCUUGGGCGAUAUACCGUUUAUACCAUA
ensembl:lncRNA